AGCAUCUCAAACUACAGAGAGUUACUUCACAUCUCAUUGAGCUGACGCUUUUAUCCAGAGCGACUCACAACAAGUGCAUGAACCAUGAGGAACAAACCAGAACAACAAGAAUCAAGAAAGUACAAGUUCUUCAAGAAAGCCAAACUACAAAGUGCUUGAUCGCUGCUGCUCGUAAUCCACAACACAAACAGAACUGCUGGGAAAUCAACUCUCACACACUGCAGCGGCCGAGGGAGAUUAACAGACUGUUGACGGGCUGAUUCUCUGUCUGUCUGACGGGUGGAGGCUAACAUUUCCUAAUUUGUGACACAGCUCAGGCGGAUGGGUCAUUAUGUUUGAUCAUAAAACAACCCAUUGGACAAGGAUGACGGUUUCCCUGGUUCAUCCUGAGGGAACAUGAACGUGUGUGAGC